rnacentral:rRNA from 1 species
UUCCUACAACGAAGAGUUUGAUCCUGGCUCAGGAUGAACGCUAGCGACAGGCCUAACACAUGCAAGUCGAGGGGUAACAUUAGUAGCUUGCUACUAGAUGACGACCGGCGCACGGGUGAGUAACGCGUAUGCAACCUUCCUUUAACAGGAGAAUAGCCCCCGGAAACGGGNAUUAAUGCUCCAUNGUACUCUAAGUCCGCAUGGAUUAAGAGUUAAAGUUCCGACGGUUAAAGAUGGGCAUGCGUGACAUUAGCCAGUUGGCGGGGUAACGGCCCACCAAAGCAACGAUGUCUAGGGGUUCUGAGAGGAAGGUCCCCCACACUGGUACUGAGACACGGACCAGACUCCUACGGGAGGCAGCAGUGAGGAAUAUUGGUCAAUGGACGCAAGUCUGAACCAGCCAUGUCGCGUGCAGGAUGACUGCCCUAUGGGUUGUAAACUGCUUUUGUACGGGAAGAAAUAUAGCUACGAGUAGUUAUUUGCCGGUACCGUACGAAUAAGCAUCGGCUAACUCCGUGCCAGCAGCCNCGGNNAUACGGAGNAUGCNAGCGUUAUCCGGAUUUAUUGGGUUUAAAGGGUGCGUAGGCGNAAUGGUAAGUCAGUGGUGAAAUCCUGCAGCUCAACUGUAGUUGUGCCAUUGAUACUGUCAUUCUUGAGUACAGAUGAGGUAGGCGGAAUGAGUAGUGUAGCGGUGAAAUGCAUAGAUAUUACUCAGAACACCAAUUGCGAAGGCAGCUUACUAAACUGACACUGACGCUGAAGCACNAAAGCGUGGGUAUCAAACAGGAUUAGAUACCCUGGUAGUCCACGCCGUAAACGAUGAUUACUGGUUGUUUGCGAUACACAGCAAGCGACUGAGCGAAAGCAUUAAGUAAUCCACCUGGGGAGUACGUCGGCAACGAUGAAACUCAAAGGAAUUGACGGGNNCCNGCACAAGCGGUGGAACAUGUGGUUUAAUUCGAUNNUACGCGAGGAACCUUACCUGGGUUUAAAUGGGAAGUGACAGGGGUAGAAAUACCNUUUUCUUCGGACACUUUUCAAGGUGCUGCAUGGUUGUCGUCAGCUCGUGCCGUGAGGUGUCGGGUUAAGUCCCAUAACGAGCGCAACCCCUGUUGUUAGUUACCAGCACAUAAUGGUGGGGACUCUAACAAGACUGCCGGUGUAAACCGCGAGGAAGGUGGGGAUGACGUCAAAUCAGCACNGCCCUUACAUCCAGGGCUACACACGUGUUACAAUGGCAGGUACAAAGGGCAGCUACACAGCGAUGUGAUGCUAAUCUCGAAAACCUGUCCCAGUUCGGAUUGAAGUCUGCAACCCGACUUCAUGAAGCUGGAAUCGCUAGUAAUCGCGCAUCAGCCAUGGCGCGGUGAAUACGUUCCCNGGCNNUGUACACACCGCNCGNCAAGCCAUGGAAGCCGGGAGUACCUGAAGUAUGUAACCGCAAGGAGCGUCCUAGGGUAAAACUGGUGACUGGG